UGCGCAGGCGGCCUGAUAAGUCAGAGGUGAAAUAUGCCGGCUCAACCGGCAAACGGCCCCUGAAACUGCCAGGCUUGAGUCCGGGAGAGGUAGGUGGAAUUCCAGGUGUAGCGGUGAAAUGCGUAAAUAUCUGGAGGAACACCGGUGGCGAAGGCGGCCUACUGGCCCGGAACUGACGCUCAGGCACGAAAGCUAGGGGAGCGAACG
rnacentral:rRNA from 1 species